rnacentral:rRNA from 1 species
GAUGAACGCUGACAGAAUGCUUAACACAUGCAAGUCAACUUGAACUUCGGUUUGGGUGGCGGACGGGUGAGUAACGCGUAAAGAACUUGCCUCACAGAUAGGGACGACAUUUGGAAACGAAUGCUAAUACCUGAUAUUAUGAUUUUAGGGCAUCCUAGGAUUAUGAAAGCUAUAUGCGCUGUGAGAGAGCUUUGCGUCCCAUUAGCUAGUUGGAGAGGUAACGGCUCACCAAGGCGAUGAUGGGUAGCCGGCCUGAGAGGGUGAUCGGCCACAAGGGGACUGAGACACGGCCCUUACUCCUACGGGAGGCAGCAGUGGGGAAUAUUGGACAAUGGACCAAGAGUCUGAUCCAGCAAUUCUGUGUGCACGAUGAAGUUUUUCGGAAUGUAAAGUGCUUUCAGUUGGGAAGAAAAAAAUGACGGUACCAACAGAAGAAGUGACGGCUAAAUACGUG